AACGAACGCUGGCGGCAGGCUUAACACAUGCAAGUCGAACGCCGUAGCAAUACGGAGUGGCAGACGGGUGAGUAACACGUGGGAACGUGCCCAAAGGUACGGAACAACUCCGGGAAACUGGAGCUAAUACCGUAUGUGCCCGAAAGGGGAAAGAUUUAUCGCCUUUGGAUCGGCCCGCGUCUGAUUAGCUAGUUGGUGAGGUAAUGGCUCACCAAGGCGACGAUCAGUAGCUGGUCUGAGAGGAUGGCCAGCCACACUGGGACUGAGACACGGCCCAGACUCCUACGGGAGGCAGCAGUGGGGAAUAUUGGGCAAUGGGCGCAAGCCUGACCCAGCCAUGCCGCGUGAGUGAUGAAGGCCUUAGGGUUGUAAAGCUCUUUCGCCGAGGACGAUAAUGACGGUACUCGGAUAAGAAGCCCCGGCUAACUUCGUGCCAGCCGCCGCCGUAAAAC
rnacentral:rRNA from 1 species